GUGGUUAUCAACCGGUUCACAGCUUUGGAGGAGGAUCAGGCAAAGACUUGGCUGAAAUUGGCUGACGUGUAGGACAGGUCUCACCGCAAUAAUGUGAGAAUUUGGGGCAUUCUUGACUCCAUCACUACUGAGGGACUACCUAUAUAUGUGACAAAUGUUUUGGACACUAGUGAAAGAGGUGACGAUGUAGGAGUGGAGCAUUGAAAGGGACGGCUUCCACGACCCAUUGGCAUACCUGAGGCAACUCCAAGGGACACAAUUGUCUGUUUACAUUACCACAAAAUAAAGGCGGUACUAAUGGCAAAGACAAGAUAACUAAAGUUGUUUUCUGAACCUUAUGCUAAGCUUUCUAUUUUUUACUGGCAUCUAUACAGCUCCAACAUAUUCAGCAGCGCUGUACCAUUGGGAAAAAGACCAACAAAGUAAAAACAGACCGAUACAAUAGGUAGAUG